AUGGCAUUUUUGUUGCAGUUGACCUUACUUUCCUCAGUCCUUGCAGGUGUGCGGUCAGAGGUGCAACUGGUCGAGUCUGGAGGGGAUGUCAAACGGCCGGGAGAGUCCCUGCGCCUCUCCUGUCAGGCCUCCGGCUUCACCUUCAGCAGCUACGCGAUGAACUGGGUGCGACAAGCGCCUGGAAAGGGCCUAGAAUGGGUAGCCUUUAUCCAUACACAGUCCACUUCCAUUUACUACGCGGACGCCGUGAAGGGCCGCUUCACCAUCUCCCGAGACGACUCCAACAGCCAGCUGCAUUUGCAAAUGAGCAGCCUCAAGCCAGAGGGCUCCGCAAUGUAUUACUGUGCAGGAGACACAGUGGGAGGAAGAGAACGUGCAGCCUGGCAAAAAGCCCCUUCACUCAUUGCAAUGCUCCUUGUUCAUCAGUGA